UACACAAAUAAAAUAUGAAGGCCUGGCUUCGCGGCCGGCUGAAAUAUUUUUUACACCCAUGUCUUUUGCGCACUUGUUGUUUCCUGGGCGGGUUCGCCCGCCACCAGGACCAAACCAUAAACCUUUUUCUUAUGCAGUUUCCAUCAGCGUCAGUAAAAACAAUGUAAUAAUUACAACUUUCAACAACGGAUCUCUUGGUUCUGGCAUCGAUGAAGAACGCAGCGAAAUGCGAUACGUAGUGUGAAUUGCAGAAUUCAGUGAAUCAUCGAAUCUUUGAACGCACAUUGCGCCCUUUGGUAUUCCAAAGGGCAUGCCUGUUCGAGCGUCAUUUGUACCUUCAAGCUUUGCUUGGUGUUGGGCGUUUUUGUCUCCCUCUUUCUGGGAGACUCGCCUUAAAACGAUUGGCAGCCGGCCUACUGGUUUCGGAGCGCAGCACAUUUUUUGCGCUUUGUAUCAGGAGAAAAGGACGGUACUCCAUCAAGACUUUUACAAUUUUAACUUUUGACCUCGGAUCAGGUAAGGGAUACCCGCUGAACUAAGCAUAUCAAUAA
rnacentral:misc_RNA from 1 species